GAGCUCACGGUUCAUUUAUUUAUUCAACAAUUAUUUAGUGAAGGCCUACCACAUGCAGGCACUGCAGCUGCAAAGACUCAUCGGCGACCGAGAAAGACAGAUCCUCGUUCUCCUGGAGCUUACAUUCUGACAGAGACAUAAAGCACAAUAAUAAACGUAACAGGUAAACUGCACAGACCUUCAAAUGUAAUGAGUGCUUUAGGGAAGAAAAGGAAAAGGCAGAUGAGGAUAAAGGGGAUCAGAAGUGGUGGGGGCAGAUCGAGACUGAAAUCUAUUCCACACCACAGUUUCAGGCAUGGGGUCAAAUCACAGCAAAUGAGGAAGAACGAUAAACGCAAUGAGUUCCUGGCAUCUGAAUCCUUCAUCCAGCACUGAGCUCUUCAUCCAGAUGGCAGCUGGAAGAGCCCAGUGACCCUAACAUGACCGAUCACCUUCAGUCUCAUAGGCUCCCCUUGUUCCAAACACAAGAUUUUUCUCUCCUUCUGCUCCCUAGAAGGUCCCCAGAGAAGAGAACAGACCAGAGCCUGAGGACAAACACACCUUGACUGGACAACGGAGAGAGGGGCCUGCACAGGGCUAGCGUGACUCCCACGUUCUGAGUCAAGGCCCAGGAGAAACUGAAAAAUCACAUCAUCUCGGGGCUGGAAACGGACCAUCAUGUGUCAACAAAUAUUUUCCAAGUGACCAUGUGCUAGACGCUAAGGAUACACAGAUGAUUAUGACAAAAUCCCUAUUCAAGGCAUUGUGUGCUACGUACUUUUUAUUACAGGCAUUAACUAAUGGUUAUGGGAGUACAAAGGCAGGAAAGAAAAAGCAGACUUUCAAAAUAAAUUGCCAAGAAUCAUCCUGGGAUCACCACACUCACCCUCUCCUACUAAUGCUACGAACAGAAGACUCAUCUGGUGCUUCAGGGCAAGGAGAAAGCGAGGCUGCGACCCUUGCAGGGCCAGGCCUUGAAGCCUCUCAGAGCCAGGGUCUUGUUCUCUCGUGUGGUUUGUUAAAGCAAGCAGCUGGGCUUCCCAGGGGGCUCGGUGGUGAUGAAUUCACCUGCAGGAGACCUUGGGUUCGAUCCCAAGGUCAGGAAGAUCCCCUGGAGAGGGAAAUGGCAGCCCACUCCAGUAUUGUGGCCUGGGAAAUCUCAUGA
rnacentral:lncRNA from 1 species